rnacentral:tRNA from 1 species
GCUGUGGCCUACUGGUUAGCGCUUCGGACUUGUAACCGGAGGGUUGCCGGUUCGAACCCGGCUGAAGCG